AGAGGUGUAGCUCAGUCGGUAGAGCAUCGGUCUCCAAAACCGAGGGUCGGGGGUUCGAGUCCCUCCGCCUCUGCCA
rnacentral:tRNA from 1 species